GCACUGUUUCGGCUAGGGGGUCAUCCCGACUUACCAACCCGAUGCAAACUCCGAAUACCUGUGAGUACUAUCCGGGAGACACACGGCGGGUGCUAACGUCCGUCGUGAAGAGGGAAACAACCCAGACCGCCAGCUAAGGUCCCCAAGUACCAGUUAAGUGGGAAACGAUGUGGGAAGGCUCAGACAGCUAGGAGGUUGGCUUAGAAGCAGCCAUCCUUUAAAGAAAGCGUAAUAGCUCACUAGUCGAGUCGGCCUGCGCGGAAGAUGUAACGGGGCUCAAACUGGUCACCGAAGCUGCGGCUGCAUACUUUGUAUGCGGGGUAGGGGAGCGUUCUGUAAGCCUGCGAAGGUGUGUUGAGAAGCAUGCUGGAGGUAUCAGAAGUGCGAAUGCUGACAUGAGUAACGACAAUGCGGGUGAAAAACCCGCACGCCGGAAGACCAAGGGUUCCUGCGCAACGCUAAUCGGCGCAGGGUGAGUCGGCCCCUAAGGCGAGACCGAAAGGUGUAGUCGAUGGGAAACGGGUUAAUAUUCCCGUACCUUGGAUAGCUGCGAUGGAGAGACGGAGAAGGCUAGGUGAGCCGGGCGACGGUUGUCCCGGUUUAAGCGAGUAGGGAGUGGACUUAGGCAAAUCCGGGUCCACAAUCUCGAGACGCGACGACGACUGCUCUUAGAGCGGGAAGUCAUUGAUGCCAUGCUUCCAGGAAAAUCUUCUAAGCUUCAGGCUAUUCGAGACCGUACCCCAAACCGACACAGGUGGUCAGGUAGAGAAUACCAAGGCGCUUGAGAGA
rnacentral:rRNA from 1 species